AAAAAAAAAAAAAAAAAAAAAAAAAAACCAGAGUCCGUUCACACCCACACCCACAACAAAAAGGCAAAAAGAAAAAAGAAAAAAAAAAGAGGCGAGGGAGGAGACAACUCCCACUACUCGAAAAAGGCGAAGCCGUGGUGGGAGGAGAUAAUUAUUAUUUUAAGUAAAAAAAAAAAAAAAAUUCUAAUUUUUUCUUCAAUAAGGCGCUUUGAAGUGCGUGCUACUGUUUCUGUGUCGGAUUGUGUGAGCCUAUUUAUCGGCUUCUUCGAUCUAGGGAGGUGGGGGGAGGAGAUUUUUUUUUUUCUUUCGAGAGGAUGGAAUGUCUCAUGAUCUAUGCUUGUUUCUCUAGUUGACCUGUACAAUUGCCCCGACACAAUGGGUUCUUGUGUAUCGACAUCAAAUAGAACACCUAGAUCACAACUAUGGUCCCUUAGAGCUAGGAAAUGCUGUGGAAAAGUUUCAGCAGUGAUAUAUGAUGAACCCACUCUCAGGGGCAAUGAUGCUGGUAAUUCUUCUACUCGGAGCAAAAUCGUUCGCGCUGAGUCUUCUGUGCCCAAUAGGCGGAGAUCCGAGGUCGCAAAUUUAACAUUCCACCUCACUCAAUUGCAAUGGCAUCGCAAUCAGAUGGAUUUGGGAAAUGUGUGAAGAUGCUUCAGACAUGGUGGAUUCUAUGCAUAAGUUUGAGAACCUUUCGCGUGAAGAUAAGUUCCAAGAACUGAAGAGGCCCAAUGUUGCGAACCAAUAAGGCUAAGAAAUUCUACAAUAUUUGCUGUUCAUUUGAUGAUCUACACCCGGAUUAAGCACCUGAAAAAGUUUUUUUUUUUUGCUGCAGCAGAAACAAAAUUGAAGCAAACACCAACAGUAAGCAGAUAAAUAGAGGAAUUAUUCUACCUGGGGUGAUUAUUUCCUUUGACGUAUUUCUGUCCGUAUUUACGCCACUUAUGACCAUCAUCCAAAAGAUCAGUUUCACUUAUGGUUUGCAAAACGAGCAUUCUCUGAGAAGUCGAUUCCACGGAUUCGGUAUCUCUGUUUCUGCAAAGCGGAGAAAGAACCUUUCAGACACGUUUACCGCAUAACUUACAUUUCCAUCCUCAUCUUCAUCGUUCGAAACCGACGAGUUCUCGAAUUUGGAUUCAGUAUCGUCGUCGUCGUAACCACCUUCCUCGCCCCGCCUAUUUUGUGAAGGUUGAUGGUUGUGCUCGCCCUUGUAGAUUAUCUCC